rnacentral:rRNA from 1 species
GGCUCAGAUUGAACGCUGGCGGCAGGCUUAACACAUGCAAGUCGAGCGGAGCGAGGGUGCUUGCACCUUAGCUUAGCGGCGGACGGGUGAGUAAUGCUUAGGAAUCUGCCUAUUAGUGGGGGACAACAUUCCGAAAGGAAUGCUAAUACCGCAUACGCCCUACGGGGGAAAGCAGGGGAUCUUCGGACCUUGCGCUAAUAGAUGAGCCUAAGUCGGAUUAGCUAGUUGGUGGGGUAAAGGCCUACCAAGGCGACGAUCUGUAGCGGGUCUGAGAGGAUGAUCCGCCACAC